CAGUCGCCGCGGUAAUACGUAGGUGGCAAGCGUUGUCCGGAAUUAUUGGGCGUAAAGGGCUCGCAGGCGGGCGAUUAAGUCAGGGGUGAAAUCCCAAGGCUCAACCCUGGAACUGCCUUUGAUACUGAUUGUCUUGAGUCCGGGAGAGGUGAGUGGAACUGCGAGUGUAGAGGUGAAAUUCGUAGAUAUUCGCAAGAACACCAGUGGCGAAGGCGGCUCACUGGCCCGGAACUGACGCUGAGGCGCGAAAGCGUGGGGAGCAAACAGGAUUAGAUACCCCCGUAGUCCCUGUCUCUUAUAC
rnacentral:rRNA from 1 species